UCUAGAACUCGAGAUAUGGGCUGAACACUGAACAGUGUCUGGGCUGCAGGACAGAUUCGGACUUCUUCGUUGUUGCUAUAAUUUGGACUUGAUAACGACCUUCUUAAAUCUUGGACUCCUCAUGAAAGUUGUAGGCCUAUGUCUUAGCUUUCCAUC
rfam:Populus trichocarpa scaffold_152_contig_1, whole genome shotgun sequence.